AGGCCAUGAUGUGGACAAAGUCUCAUCAUGUCCCUGUAUCUUUCCCAUGCUUCAAAGAUUGAUUCUCCAUCCUUCUGUCUAAAUCCAUUAAUUUGGCUCCUUAGCAU